rnacentral:rRNA from 1 species
UCUGAUGAAGGAGUUUUCGGACAACUGAUUCAGAGGAAAGUGGCGGACGGGUGAGUAACGCGUGAGGAACCUGCCUUGAAGAGGGGGACAACAGUUGGAAACGACUGCUAAUACCGCAUGAUGCAUAGGGGUCGCAUGAUCUUUAUGCCAAAGAUUUAUCGCUUCAAGAUGGCCUCGCGUCUGAUUAGCUAGUUGGCGGGGUAACGGCCCACCAAGGCGACGAUCAGUAGCCGGACUGAGAGGUUGAACGGCCACAUUGGGACUGAGAUACGGCCCAGACUCCUACGGGAGGCAGCAGUGGGGAAUAUUGGGCAAUGGGCGCAAGCCUGACCCAGCAACGCCGCGUGAAGGAAGAAGGCUUUCGGGUUGUAAACUUCUUUUAAGAGGGAAGAGCAGAAGACGGUACCUCUAGAAUAAGCCACGGCUAACUACGUGCCAGCAGCCGCGGUAAUACGUAGGUGGCAAGCGUUGUCCGGAUUUACUGGGUGUAAAGGGCGUGCAGCCGGGUCUGCAAGUCAGAUGUGAAAUCCAUGGGCUCAACCCAUGAACUGCAUUUGAAACUGUAGAUCUUGAGUGUCGGAGGGGCAAUCGGAAUUCCUAGUGUAGCGGUGAAAUGCGUAGAUAUUAGGAGGAACACCAGUGGCGAAGGCGGAUUGCUGGACGAUAACUGACGGUGAGGCGCGAAAGUGUGGGGAGCAAACAGGAUUAGAUACCCUGGUAGUCCACACUGUAAACGAUGAAUACUAGGUGUGCGGGGACUGACCCCCUGCGUGCC